UGGGGAAUUUUGCACAAUGGGGGAAACCCUGAUGCAGCGACGCCGCGUGUACGAUGAAGAUCUUCGGAUUGUAAAGUACUGUCCUUGGUGAAGAUAAUGACUGUAACCAAGAAGCAAGCCCUGGCUAAAUACGUGCCAGCAGCCGCGGUAAUACGUAUGGGGCAAGCGUUGUCCGGAAUUAUUGGGCGUAAAGGGUACGUAGGCGGUUAUUUAAGUCUAAAUUAAAAGGCAUUGGCUCAACCAAUGUAAGGUUUAGAUACUGGAUAACUUGAGUAGAUGAGGGGAAAGUGGAAUUCCAUGUGUAGCGGUGAAAUGCGUAGAUAUAUGGAGGAACACCAAUGGCGAAGGCAACUUUCUGGAAACAAACUGACGCUGAGGUACGAAGGCGUGGGGAGCAAACAGG
rnacentral:rRNA from 1 species